rnacentral:lncRNA from 1 species
UUUGUUAGAUAGUUCUGCACCAAGCCUAGAUCUACACGCGCCCAAAAGUAUAACAUAUCUAAUGAAACUCAUUCAAUCUAAAAACUUAACCAUCUUCUUCACGACUUUUAAACUAACUGUCUCAAUAAUUACGACAAUCAAAUCAUUGCAAUCAACUAUAUUUUCUAUUAGGCAGUUCGAUCUAGACCAAGUCGAAAUCCACACACGCUAAAAAAUGUAAUAUGUCUAACAAAACUCAUUCAAUCUAAAAGAUUAAAUAUGUUAAGUCUGGAUC